GAUGAAGAACGCAGCGAAAUGCGAUAAGUAAUGCGAAUUGCAGAAUCCGUGAAUCAUCGAAUCUUUGAACGCACAUUGCGCCCCUUGGUAUUCCGGGGGGCAUGCCUGUUCGAGCGUCAUUUCAACCCUCAAGCUCUGCUUGGUAUUGGGCUCCGUCCUCCUCGGACGCGCCUCAAAGACCUCGGCGGUGGCGUCUUGCCUCAAGCGUAGUAGAAACACCUCGCUUUGGAGUGCAUGGCGUCGCCCGCCGGACGAAACCUUUUGUAUUUUCUCAAGGUUGACCUCGGAUCAGGUAGGGAUACCCGCUGAACUUAAGCAUAUCAAUAAGCGGAGGA
rnacentral:misc_RNA from 1 species